ensembl:lncRNA
GGACGGUCAGUCAGUCAGUCAGACAUGUUAGGCAAUGGGACGGUCAGUCAGUCAGACACGUUAGGCAAUGGGACGGUCAGUCAGUCAGAUACGUUAGGCAAUGGGACAGUCAGUCAGUCAGACACAUUAGGCAAUGGGACGGUCAGUCAGUUAUACAUGUUAGGCAAUGGGACGGUCAGUCUGUCAGUCAGACAUGUUUGGCAAUGGGACGGUCAGUCAGUCAGUCAGUUAGACACGUUAGGCAAUGGGAUGGUCAGUCAGUCAGUCAGACACGUUAGGCAAUGGGACGGUCAGUCAGUCAGUCAGACAUAUACGUUAGGCAAUGGGACGGUCAGUCAGUCAGACACAUUAGGCAAUGGGACGGUCAGUCAGUCAGUCAGACACAUUAGGCAAUGGGACAGUCACUCAGUCAGUCAGACACGUUAGGCAAUGGGAUGGUCAGUCAGUUAGUCAGUCAGACACGUUAGGCAAUGGGACGGUCAGUCAGUCAGUCAGUCAGACACGUUAGGCAAUGGGACAGUCAGUCAGUCAGUCAGAUACGUUAGGCAAUGGGACGGUCAGUCAGUCAGACACAUUAGGCAAUGGGACGGUCAGUCAGUCAGUCAGACACAUUAGGCAAUGGGACGGUCAGUCAGUCAGUCAGACAUGUUAGGCAAUGGGACGGUCAGUCAGUCAGUCAGACAUGUUAGGCAAUGGGACGGUCAGUCAGUCAGACACGUUAGGCAAUGGGACGGUCAGUCAGUCAGAUACGUUAGGCAAUGGGACAGUCAGUCAGUCAGACACAUUAGGCAAUGGGACGGUCAGUCAGUUAUACAUGUUAGGCAAUGGGACGGUCAGUCUGUCAGUCAGACAUGUUUGGCAAUGGGACGGUCAGUCAGUCAGUCAGUUAGACACGUUAGGCAAUGGGAUGUUCAGUCAGUCAGUCAGACACGUUAGGCAAUAGGACGGUCAGUCAGUCAGUCAGACAUGUUAGGCAAUGGGACGGUCAGUCAGUUAGACACGUUAGGCAAUGGGAUGGUCAGUCAGUCAGUCAGUCAGACACGUUAGGCAAUGGGAUGGUCAGUCAGUCAGUCAGACACGUUAGGCAAUGGGACGGUCAGUCAGUCAGUCAGUCAGACAUGUUAGGCAAUGGGACAGUCAGUCAGUCAGACACGUUAGGCAAUGGGACAGUCAGUCAGUCAGACACGUUAGGCAAUGGGACAGUCAGUCAGUUAGUCAGUCAGACACAUUAGGCAAUGGGACAGUCAGUCAGUCAGACAUGUUAGGCAAUGGGACAGUGAGUCAGUCAGACACGUUAGGCAAUGGGACAGUCAGUCAGUCAGACACGUUAGGCAAUGGGACAGUCAGUCAGUCAGACACGUUAGGCAAUGGGACGGUCAGUCAGUCAGUCAGUCAGACAUGUUAGGCAAUGGGACAGUCAGUCAGUCAGACACGUUAGGCAAUGGGACAGUCAGUCCGUCAGACACGUUAGGCAAUGGGACAGUCAGUCAGUUAGUCAGUCAGACACGUUAGGCAAUGGGACAGUCAGUCAGUCAGUCAGAUACGUUAGGCAAUGGGACGGUCAGUCAGUCAGACACAUUAGGCAAUGGGACGGUCAGUCAGUCAGUCAGACACAUUAGGCAAUGGGACAGUCACUCAGUCAGUCAGACACGUUAGGCAAUGGGAUGGUCAGUCAGUUAGUCAGUCAGACACGUUAGGCAAUGGGACAGUCAGUCCGUCAGACACGUUAGGCAAUGGGACAGUCAGUCAGUUAGUCAGUCAGACACGUUAGGCAAUGGACAGUCAGUCAGUCAGACAGACACGUUAGGCAAUGGGACGGUCAGUCAGUUAGACACGUUAGGCAAUGGGUCAGUCAGUCAGUCGACAUGUUAUUAUUAGGGUCUACAGUUUACCUCCGCCCCCUUGGUCUAUCCCUCUGACCUGAGGUACGUAGAGGAGUCUACAGUCCAUUACUAAUCAAACAUCGUCUCUCUGUCUGUCUCUCCUUAG